CAGCAGCCACGGUAAUACGGAGGGGGCUAGCGUCGUUCGGAAUUACUGGGCGUAAAGCGCACGUAGGCGGCUUUGUAAGUUAGAGGUGAAAGCCCGGAGCUCAACUCCGGAAUUGCCUUUAAGACUGCAGAGCUAGCAGGUGAGAGAGGUGAGUGGAAUUCCGAGUGUAGAGGUGAAAUUCGUAGAUAUUCGGAAGAACACCAGUGGCGAAGGCGGCUCACUGGCUCAUACUGGACGCUGAGGUGCGAAAGCGUGGGGAGCAAACAGGAUUAGAUACCCCAGUAGUCCUGUCUCUUAUACA
rnacentral:rRNA from 1 species